rnacentral:lncRNA from 1 species
CUGCUUUCUUCAUCUGAUCUUGUUCCACCUAUUAUCUCCUCCAUUUUCUCACAUCCUCUAACUGUAAUCUCUUCUAGGUUUACGAGGCUAAUCCAAGAAGAUGGAAUCAAGCUCUCCAUGUUGUCGCAAUUCCAUACUUCAAUUUGUUGGAGAGAAUCGCACAUCAGUUUUGCAUUACAAAUGCUUUUCAGUUUUGGUAACAACCUCAAUUCCAGUUUUCUUAACUUUGGGAGUUUGAAAUCGGUACUACUGCUGCUGCUUUCUUCAUCUGAUCUUGUUCCACCUAUUAUCUCCUCCAUUUUCUCACAUCCUCUAACUGAAAUCUCUUGUAGCGUUAAGAGGCAAAUCCAGGAAGGUGGAACCAAGCUCUCCAUGCUGUCGCAAUUCCAUACUUCAAUUUGUUGAAGAGAAUCGCACAUUAGUUUUGCACUACAAAUGCUUUUCAGUUCCGGUAAAUCUUUCAAUUCCAGUUUUCUUAACUUUGGAAGUUUGAAUUCAGUGGUGCUGCUGCUGCUUUCUUCAUCUGAUCUUGCUCCACCUAUUAUCUCCUCAAUUUUCUCACAUCUUCUAACUAAAAUCUCUUGUAGCUCUACGAGGCAUUUCCAAGAAGAUGGAACCAAGCUCUCCAUGCUAUCGCAAUUCCAUACUUCAAUUUGUUGGAGUGAAUCGCACAUCAAUUUUGCACUACAAAUGCUUUUCAGUUCCGGUAAAUCUUUCAAUUCUAGUUUUCUUAACUUUGGGAGUUUGAAUUCGGUACUGCUGCUGCUGCUUUCUUCAUCUGAUCUUGUUCCACCUAUUAUCUCCUUCAUUUUCUCACAUCCUCUAACUGAAAUCUCUACUAUGUUUACGAGGCAAAUCCAAGAAGAUGGAACCAAGCUCUCCAUGCUGUCGCAAUUCCAUACUUCAAUUUGUUUGAGAGAAUCGCACAUCAGUUUUGCACUACAAAUGCUUUUCAGUUUUGGUAACAACCUCAAUUCCAGUUUUCUUAACUUUGGGAGUUUGAAUUCGAUGCUGCUGCUGCUUUCUUCAUCUGAUCUUGUCCCACCUAUUAUCUCCUCCAUUUUCUCACAUCCUCUAACUGAAAUCUCUUCUAGGUUUACGAGGCAAAUCCAAGAAGAUGGAACCAAGCUCUCCAUGUUGUCGCAAUUCCAUACUUCAAUUUGUUUGAGAGAAUCACACAUCAGUUUUGCACUACAAAUGCUUUUCAGUUCUGGUAAAUCUUUCAAUUUCAGUUUUCUUAACUUUGGG